GACGAACGCUGGCGGCGUGCUUAACACAUGCAAGUCGAACGAAAAUACCAAGCUUGCUUGGUUGAUUAGUGGCGAACGGGUGAGUAACACGUGAGUAACCUGCCCCUUACUUUCCUGGAUAACUGCUCGAAAGGGUAGCUAAUACGGGAUAUUCUGACCAGCCUGCAUGGGUUGGUUUGGAAAGGUUGUUUUUCUGGUAAGGGAUGGGCUCGCGGCCUAUCAGCUUGUUGGUGGGGUGAUGGCCUACCAAGGCUUUGACGGGUAGCCGGCCUGCGAGGGUGGACGGUCACACUGGGACUGAGAUACGGCCCAGACUCCUACGGGAGGCAGCAGUGGGGAAUAUUGCACAAUGGGCGCAAGCCUGAUGCAGCGACGCCGCGUGAGGGAUGAAGGCCUUCGGGUUGUAAACCUCUUUCGUCAGGGAACAAGGCACUGCUUUUUUGGUGGUGUUGAGGGUACCUGGAUAAGAAGCGCCGGCUAACUACGUG
rnacentral:rRNA from 1 species